AUUUUAAAAUCAUUAAAAUUUAGUGAUACUUAAACAAUGGAUUGAGUUAUUCUCAAAUUUUGAAAAAGAAUAUAAGGAAAAUAAAAUUUUCAUGAUGUUAAAUAGAUCACAAAUGCUCACAAAAAUGUUUUUAGUGAAACAAGGUUUGUUAUUUUUAAAAUUCAGUUAAAAACUUUUAUUGGUUUAGUCAACUGGUAUCAGGCUUACACGGUACACUGUCUCUUAUAGGUCGAGUCCUUGAAUAAGGCAGGAGAUUAUUUUUAUCUGCUCGGAACUACAGGAAAUAUCCUAGGAGCUGCACUGAAGACUUGUAAUGCUGCAAAGAAUCCAGUUUUUGUCUCCCAAGGUCAUCGAUGCUCACUGGAAUCUGCUCUAGCUGUUGUUAAGCUGUGUUCCAUCUACAGAGUUCCCGAACCUACUCGACUAGCCGACAUCCAGUCUCGAAAAUAUCUUCAACAGGAAAUCCACACUUCAUCAUGUUUGUCACU